rnacentral:rRNA from 1 species
AUUGAACGCUGGCGGCAGGCCUAACACAUGCAAGUCGAACGGUAACUGGGAUCAGCUUGCUGAUUCGCUGACGAGUGGCGGACGGGUGAGUAAUGUCUGGGAAACUGCCUGAUGGAGGGGGAUAACUACUGGAAACGGUAGCUAAUACCGCAUAACGUCGCAAGACCAAAGAGGGGGACCUUCGGGCCUCUUGCCAUCGGAUGUGCCCAGAUGGGAUUAGCUAGUAGGUGGGGUAACGGCUCACCUAGGCGACGAUCCCUAGCUGGUCUGAGAGGAUGACCAGCCACACUGGAACUGAGACACGGUCCAGACUCCUACGGGAGGCAGCAGUGGGGAAUAUUGCACAAUGGGCGCAAGCCUGAUGCAGCCAUGCCGCGUGUAUGAAGAAGGCCUUCGGGUUGUAAAGUACUUUCAGCGGGGAGGAAGGGAGUAAAGUUAAUACCUUUGCUCAUUGACGUUACCCGCAGAAGAAGCACCGGCUAACUCCGUG